rnacentral:rRNA from 1 species
AGAGUUUGAUCAUGGCUCAGAGCGAACGCUGGCGGAAUGCCUAACACAUGCAAGUCGAGCGCCCCGGCGACGGGGAGCGGCGGACGGGUGAGUAACACGUAGGAACGCAUCCUGAGGUGGGGGACAACCCUGGGAAACCGGGGCUAACACCGCAUAUGGCCUGAGGGCCAAAGCCGAGAGGCGCCUUUGGGGCGGCUUGCGUCCGAUUAGGUAGUUGGCGGGGUAAUGGCCCACCAAGCCUGCGAUCGGUAGCUGGUCUGAGAGGAUGGCCAGCCACACUGGGACUGAGACACGGCCCAGACUCCUACGGGAGGCAGCAGCCAGGAAUCUUGGGCAAUGGGCGAAAGCCUGACCCAGCAACACCGUGUGGGUGAUGAAGGCCUUAGGGUCGUAAAGCCCUGUUGAUAGGGACGAAGGGCGAAGGGUUAAUAGCCCCUAGCUUGACGGUACCUUUCGAGGAAGCCCCGGCUAACUACGUGCCAGCAGCCGCGGUAAUACGUAGGGGGCGAGCGUUGUCCGGAAUUAUUGGGCGUAAAGAGCGUGUAGGCGGUUCGGUAAGUCUGCUGUGAAAUCCUGGGGCUCAACCCUGGGCGUGCAGCGGAUACUGCCGGGCUAGAGGGUGGUAGAGGCGAGUGGAAUUCCGAGUGUAGCGGUGAAAUGCGCAGAUAUUCGGAGGAACACCAGUAGCGAAGGCGGCUCGCUGGGCCACACCUGACGCUGAGACGCGAAAGCGUGGGGAGCGAACAGGAUUAGAUACCCCGGUAGUCC